rnacentral:rRNA from 1 species
CCCUUAGAUGUCCUGGGCUACACGCGCGCUACACUGGAAGUUACGGAUUGAGAUACUACCUUGUCCGAAAUGGUCCGGGUAAUCACCUAAAAGCUUGUCAUAAUUGGAAUGGAUUAUUGUAACUAGUAAUCCUGAACGAGGAAUUCCUAGUAAGUCCCAGUCAACAGCUGGUACUGAUUACGUCCCUGCCCUUUGUACACACCGCCCGUCGCUACUACUGAUUGGACGUUUAAGCAAGAUUUUUAAACACUGACAGUGUGUAGUUCACGCUAUACUACAGUGAGAAGAAGAAGAUCGAGCUUACUUGUCUAGAGGAAGUAAAAGUCGUAACA